rnacentral:rRNA from 1 species
UACGUAGGGCGCAAGCGUUGUCCGGAAUUAUUGGGCGUAAAGAGCUCGUAGGCGGUUUGUCGCGUCUGCUGUGAAAACCUAAGGCUCAACCUUGGGCUUGCAGUGGGUACGGGCAGACUAGAGUGCGGUAGGGGUGACUGGAAUUCCUGGUGUAGCGGUGGAAUGCGCAGAUAUCAGGAGGAACACCGAUGGCGAAGGCAGGUCACUGGGCCGCAACUGACGCUGGGGAGCGAAAGCAUGGGGAGCGAACAGG